GUCAUUAAGAGAAAAGACUUGUUAUGUAUUUGACAAGUGAAAUAAAGGUGAUAAAAAUCUCAUAUCAAGACUUAGGCUUCUUUGAGAUAUAUAGGAGUUACAGGUAAAAGUUUGAAGGGAGGGGUGCACUUUGGUUAGAGAUUUUCAUUUGGUGCUGAACGCACCUAGUUGUAAAAAAAUGGAAUUUGAAAGUAAAAGUGCAACGGCACGGUAUAUUUUUUCUGGCAUGUUUUGUUUUGCAAGAUCUCGAACUUUCACGGCAAGAAAGUCAUAUACCCAAAAUUGAAUAUAUGAAUCAGUGACAGGGGCUCAACUUUGUAUGGAAGUCUAUGGGAAAACAUUUGGUGGUGUUUGUCCUAUAGAGUAGGUAUAGGUCUGAUUGACUGGGGUGUGAAAUGUAACAGCCAGUGGUGUACCUCAGCUAGGACUGUCAGUCCCAAUAUUCAUGAGGGAAAACACCUACAUAACCUUAUACAUGGGUGCAGACAUUUUGGACACCCAAAGUUGUGCGGAGAAGAAAAUGCUACACGGCACAUGAUUGGUCAUGAAGAGAAAAGACUUGUUAUGUAUUUGACAAGUGAAAUAAAGGUGAUAAAAAUCUCAUAUCAAGACUUAGGCUUCUUUGAGAUAUAUAGGAGUUACAGGUAAAAGUUUGAAGGGAGGGGUGCACUUUGGUUAGAGAUUUUCAUUUGGUGCUGAA